GCCACUGUGGCGGAAUUGGCAGACGCGCAGCGUUCAGGUCGCUGUUUGGUUUAUCCAAGUGCAGGUUCGACCCCUGUCAGUGGCA
rnacentral:tRNA from 1 species